GGGCGCAUAGCUCAGCUGGAAGAGCACCUGCCUUACAAGCAGGGGGUCGUAGGUUCAAGUCCUGCUGCGCCCA
rfam:Desulfurella amilsii strain TR1 opera_scaffold_1, whole genome shotgun sequence.